UCGACCGCGACCCCAGGUCAGACGGGACUACCCGCUGAGUUUAAGCAUAUCAAUAAGCGGUG
rnacentral:rRNA from 1 species